UGAGUGGGAAUGAUUUAUACACAUGAUUUGAAGUGAAAUGGUUCAUUUAAAAGCAUUUUCACUUAUUAUAAAAGGUCAAAAAUCAAUCAAAGUUGAUUGGUUCCCCACCAAAAACUCCACCAGAAUUUUUCUGGUGGGGUUUUU
rnacentral:sRNA from 1 species